rnacentral:sRNA from 1 species
UGCUGUGGUUCUAUAUCUUUACACACGCUCUGUAAUAAAGUCUCAUGGAAUGUAUGCAGCGUUUAACGCAAUACAAUACAACUUUCAGCAACGGAUCUCUUGGCUCUCGCAUCGAUGAAGAACGCAGCGAAAUGCGAUAAGUAAUGUGAAUUGCAGAAUUCAGUGAAUCAUCGAAUCUUUGAACGCACCUUGCGCCCUUUGGCUAUUCCGAAGGGCAUGCCUGUUUGAGUAUCAUGAACACAUCAACUCUCAUGGUUUGCCAUGAUGAGCUUGGACUUUGGGGGUCUUGCUGGCCUGCGGUCGGCUCCCCUAAAAUGAAUCAGCUUUCCAGUGUUUGGUGGCGUCACGGGUGUGAUAAAUAUCUACGCUCGUGGUUUCCUGCCAGGUAACCUUCAGUGAUGGAGGUUCGCUGGGGCUCAUAAACGUCUCUCCUCAGUGAAGACA